GCCGGAGUGGCGGAAUUGGUAGACGCAAGGGACUUAAAAUCCCUCGGAACUUUGUUCCGUGCCGGUUCAAAUCCGGCCUCCGGCA
rnacentral:tRNA from 1 species